UCACAAUACUAAAUAACUGCCUUGCUGAACUAAUACCUGAGGUGUUCCAGGGAUGUACAUUUACUUUUGCUAAUUCCCAGGUAGAUGACACCGGGUGAAAAAUGAGGUUCAGAGAGGUUAAGUAACUUAAAAGAUCAUGUGUCUCAUAAAUAGAAUAGAUGGAAAUCAAACUCACAUCUGCCUAAUUCCAAACCUUGUGUUCUUUUAGUACUCCCUAUUAUCUUUGAACUAAUACAACCUUUUAGAGUUACGAAGUGCUUUAAUAUCUAUGCUUUUAUAAUGUUUUUGUGUCUUGCAGGGAUUUAUCAAAGAUGUUCAUGAAGACUCCCUUACAGUUGUUUUUGAAAAUAAUUGGCAACCAGAACGCCAGGUUCCAUUUAAUGAAGUUAGAUUACCACCACCACCUGAUA
rnacentral:lncRNA from 10 species